rnacentral:rRNA from 1 species
GACGUAGGGCGCGAGCGUUGUCCGGAAUUAUUGGGCGUAAAGGGCUCGUAGGCGGUUUGUCGCGUCGGGAGUGAAAACACCGGGCUUAACUCGGUGCUUGCUUUCGAUACGGGCAGACUAGAGGCAUGCAGGGGAGAACGGAAUUCCUGGUGUAGCGGUGAAAUGACGCAGAUAUCAGGAGGAACACCGGUGGCGAAGGCGGUUCUCUGGGCAUGUCCUGACGCUGAGGAGCGAAAGUGUGGGGAGCGAACAGG